GCGAGAGUGGCGGAACUGGCAGACGCGCUGGAUUUAGGAUCCAGUACCGCAAGGUGUGGGGGUUCGACUCCCCCCUCUCGCACCA
rnacentral:tRNA from 1 species